GUGAUAAGGAACCCCGAGUGCCAGCACAGGCUGGCUGUCCACCAGUGUAAAUAACUGGUGAAGAAAGGGCCGGGCAAGACCGGUGCCAGCAGCCGCGGUAAUAAUAA
rnacentral:rRNA from 1 species